AACGAACGCUGGCGGCAUGCCUAACACAUGCAAGUCGAACGAAGCCUUCGGGCUUAGUGGCGCACGGGUGCGUAACGCGUGGGAAUCUGCCCUUUGGUUCGGAAUAACAGUUGGAAACGACUGCUAAUACCGGAAGUUGACGAAAGUCCAAAGAUUUAUCGACAGAGGAUGAGCCCGCGUAGGAUUAGCGAGUUGGUGUGGUAAAGGCGCACCUCGGCGACGAUCCUUAGCUGGUCUGAGAGGAUGAUCAGCCACACUGGGACUGAGACACGGCGCAGACUCCUACGGGAUGCAGCAGUGGGGAAUAUUGGACAAUGGGCGAAAGGCUGAUCCAGCAAUGCCGCGUGAGUGAUGAAGGCCCAAGGGUUGUAAAGCUCUUUUACCCGGGAUGAUAAUGACAGUACCGGGAGAAUAAGCCCCGGCUAACUCCGUGCCAGCCGCCGCCGUAA
rnacentral:rRNA from 1 species